rfam:Ilyobacter polytropus DSM 2926, complete genome.
CGGAGCAUAGCGCAGCCCGGUAGCGCACCUGCCUUGGGAGCAGGGGGUCGCAAGUUCAAAUCUUGCUGUUCCGA